rnacentral:rRNA from 1 species
GAUGAACGCUAGCGGCAGGCUUAACACAUGCAAGUCGAGGGGUAUAGUUCUUCGGAGCUAGAGACCGGCGCACGGGUGCGUAACGCGUAUGCAAUCUACCUUUUGCAGAGGGAUAGCCCAGAGAAAUUUGGAUUAAUACCUCAUGGUAUGUGAGAAUGGCAUCAUUUUCACAUUAAAGUCACAACGGCAAAAGAUGAGCAUGCGUCCCAUUAGCUAGUUGGUAAGGUAACGGCUUACCAAGGCAACGAUGGGUAGGGGUCCUGAGAGGGAGAUCGCCCACACUGGUACUGAGACACGGACCAGACUCCUACGGGAGGCAGCAGUGAGGAAUAUUGGACAAUGGGCGCAAGCCUGAUCCAGCCAUGCCGCGUGCAGGAUGACGGUCCUAUGGAUUGUAAACCGCUUUUGUACAGGAAGAAACACUGGUUCGUGAACCAGCUUGACGGUACUGUAAGAAUAAGGAUCGGCUAACUCCGUGCCAGCCGCCGCCGUAAGAC